AUCUCGGCUUACUGCAACCUCCACCUCCCGGGUUCAAGCGAUUCUCCAUCCUCAGCCUCCUGAGUAGCUGGGAUUACAGGCGCCCGCCACCACACCAGGCUAAUUUUUGUAUUUUUAGAAGAGACAGGGUUUCACCACAUUGGCCAGGCUGGUUUUGAACUCCUGACCUCAGGUGAUCCACCCCCCUCGGCCUCCCAAAGUGCUGGGAUUACAGGCGUGAGCCACCACGCCUGGCCUUGGAUGUUUUAAAGUAAAAUUUUCCCCACUGCAAAAUAAUAGAUAUGUGUUGUAGGAACUUUUGGAAACACAAGGCACAAAGGAAAAAAUACCUUCAUAUUUCUCCUUUUCCCAUCUCCCCAGAGACUUUUUUCUCCUUAUUUGUUGGCAUAUGUCUUUCCAUACUCUUCAAUGCAUAUAUAUUCACAGGAUAACAUUAUAUGUGGUAUUUUAGAACCACAUUUCUAACAUUCCAUUUAUCAUGUUUUGUAUUUGCAUAGUAUUCCAUUUCGUAGUUGUACCAUAAUAUCUUUAGACAAUGCUUGUGGUCAAAUAAUUUCCCCCAAUAUUUUACUGUUACAAAAAAUGUUUCGAUGAACAUUUUGGUCUAAAGUUGAUGGAUCAAGGAAUAUAGGGGUCAUUAUAAGUUAACAAAUACAGCGUCAGAUCAUGGUACUACUCUGCUGAAAAUCCCCCUUGGCUCCCAUCUUACUCAGAGCCAAAGCUAAGGUCUUUACCAUGACCUAAAAUACCCUCAGCCAUCCGGAGUGUGCAUGUAUGCAUACACACAGACAUGUACAUGCCACUCACUCCUGCCUCUCUAGCUCAUCUUCUCCUGCUCACCCCUGACUUGUUCCCCUGAAGCUAUUCCUGGAAUACACCAGGCAAGCAAGCCCCUGUGUCAGGGCCUUGGCACUUCUUCCUUCUGCCUAUAACAAUUCCUCCAAGUAUCCACAGGCUUCCUCUUUCACUUCCUUUGUUGCGUUGGCUCAGAUAUCGCCUUAUCUGAGUGCCCUUCCUUAACUAUACAAUACAAAAUAAGUUCAUGAAUCUGCCCUCACCCCUACAUUCCCUGUUUCCUUUACCUUGUUCUAUUUUUCUAUAACAUUUACCUGACAAAUCUUAUGUUUGUUUAUUGUCACUCUUCUUCCAGAAUGUAAGCACUGUGAAGUCAAGGACUUUGUUAGUUUUGAUCACUAUUGUAUCCAUGGGUUCUAAAGCACUGCCUGGCACAUAGUUGGCACUCAGUAAGCUAAGAAAUAAUAAGACUAACAUAUUGGGAUUGUGGCAAGGAGUUUCUGGUGAUGGCUGGUUAUGAAAACUUGAAGAAACAAAAUAAUGGCUUUUUUUAAGUGAAGAACUAAAAAAACAUUGAACUUCCAGGCCAGUUUUUGGAUAAAAGUCUAUAACCAGGGAGGGAAAUGGAAUACUGGAACAAAAAGCUGCCUGUGCUGAGACAGCAGUUGCUGAUACCACAAACACUUGUCUGCUGUUUCUGUGGCCUGGCUGAGCCAAGAAAACAUGUUAAAGCACAGAGCCCACGCAAGACAGUGUGCUUGCAGGAGACCCUACCAACAGGAAUCGGAUAACAAGGAGCUAAAGGUAAGGAGGAGUCAGAGCUGAACCCAGUGCCCUCUUCCCAGCAGUUGUAAUGAACUGUGGCUACCUUGGUGCUCUUGGAGCAGGGAGGAAAAGAAAUAGAAAAUACAAUUUCCCUGGAAGGCCUGUGCAUAUCUGCUUCCCUGAAGAUUAGCUUCUCAAAUAUACAUAGCUGGUUGGGCCAAGGAUUCUCAAAAUCUGAAUUCGGCAGAAGCACAGCAAGAUCUCUCUGGAAGAGGGCUCAUCUCAAGCGUCAGGAGACUCCCGUUAAAUACUUAUUCAAGAAUAAUGUGUGGCAAGCGAUAAAGAUUACAAGUUACCCAAGCAACUUGAAUAUGAAUGAGAAUAGAAAAUCACAGAAGCCCAGCUUCUUCCACUUAGCAUAAUCAUUUGAGUCAUCCAUGUUGUCAUGUGUAUUCAGCAGCUUGGUCCUUUUAAUUGCUGAGUGGCAAUCCAUAGUUUACUCAUCCAUUUACUAGUGGAAGAUUUGUGUUGGUUCCAGUUUUUAGUGACAGUGGUUAAGCUGCUGUUAACAUUCACCUAGAAGUUUUUUUGUUUUGUUUUGUUUUGUUUUUGAGACAGAGUCUCGCUCUGUCGCCAGGCUGGAGUGCAGUGGUCCGAUCUUGGCUCACUGCAACCUCCGCCUCCCAGGUUCAAGUGAUUCUCCUGCCUCAGCCUCCCUAGUAGCUGGGAUUACAGGCACAUGCCACCACGCCCAGCUAAUUUUUGCAUUUUUAGUAGAGACUGGGUUUCACCAUGUUGGCCAGGAUGGUCUUGAUCUCUUGACCUCAUGAUCCGCCUGCCUCUGUCCCGCAAAGUGCUGGGAUUACAGGCGUCAGCCACUGCGCCCGGCCUCACCUAGAAGUUUUUAUGUGAAUCAAAGAUUUUGUUUCUCUUGAGUACAUUCCUAGGAGUGGGAUAGCUAGUUAUAUGAUAAAUAUGUAUAUAUACUUAGUAGGAAAUUGCCAAACAGGUUUGCAAACUGGUGGUGCCACUUUGCAUUCCCACCAAAAAUGUAUGAAAAUUCCAGGUGAUUGGCAUCCUCACCAGAAUUUGAUAUUGUCUGC
rnacentral:lncRNA from 10 species